CCGCUUAUCCACCAACCCAACCUCGUUAUGCAUCAAGACCAUGCCCACUCUGCACAUAAAUAGACUAUAAGAAUUACUUAAAUAGACUGCAAUUCCUAACAAAUAGAUGCUAUAGAGCAGAUACUGACCUUCUCUGCCGUGAGCUCAAUAACAGUUUUACAUCCCCCAACAAUCAAUGACGAACUUGCAAAUUUUAUUUUUAUAUUUUCUGCCAGUAAAAAGAAUCCCCAUCAGUUAAAGAAAAUAGUUAAAUGGAAAGUAUUUCACACAUCAUAGUCCAAAGCAGGAAAUAUCAGUUUAUUAAAGAUUGAAAUACGCAAUAUCCCUCUACUCAUCCACAACAUCCCUAAUAUUAACAUCAAUGAAGAAAAAGUGCUGCGAACACCAAUUUUAAUCAUCCAAGUCUUACAGGAAAGUGAAUAAUAUAGAUUUACACAGAAAUGGAAAGAUAGCAUCAAAACAUGUAUAUGUUCUUGUUCCCCUUAUGUAUGCUUCACAGUAUCUCCUUCCGGGCUCAUUUGUAAAUAUUAAUAU
rnacentral:lncRNA from 1 species